rnacentral:lncRNA from 1 species
GGCUCUGUGAAUACCUGGAUGGAGCUGUAAUUUGACUGCAAAAUAUUACAUGAAACCACACAUUAGGCUUUAUAAUAGUAAAAGUUGAAAGUUAAAAGGCAUGUCUCUACUUUAAAAGGUUAUGUAAACACUGAAUGCCAUAACAAGUAGGCUUCUUUUUCAAUUGAUACAAGCAGUGCAAUUGCUGUAUUGAAUUUUGACAUUCAAGCAUGUAGACAUAAUCGGCUUUGAACUUGAACUGAGGCGAGCAAACAAAACAGGCAACUUUUGAAGGUAGACAGCCUACUGAACAAGGUUGGGCAUUGCACAUACAAACUGAAACUACACCGCAAACCCACAUAUCAGUCAGCAACUAAAGAACCGACAUGCAGAUCAUCUUACCGUACUUUGUGAUGCCAGUCCUACAGAACAUCUGUUCCUUGUUUUAUUGCAGUGAUUCUUGUAGUAGCCUGCUUGUUUUGAGCAAGUUAAACACACCCUCGAUCUCCUGUACAGUCAAAACAAUGAGAGGAUUCUAUUAUCUGGCCCGGGUUACCCCAGUGGGAGGGGUUUGCUUAGUGGUGAAAAGUGAUUGCAUUAGUUUGGAACCGGCUGCCUUCCGGGGUGAGCCUCACUGCUUUUGCCAGUUCACGUCAAUGGGCAAUAGACCUGAGCGCGGCUCAGGUUAAUAGAACUCCCUCAUUGUUCUGUCUGAAGUUAGCCGCGCCUACCUACCACAUCAUCUACAUCUGAGCCGGAGUCCUUCCUGAUCUACAUCCACAUCUACAUGAGACUGUGUCUACGCAUUGAAAACUGCAUAGGACUACACAUCCAUCCCAGAACGAAAGCAAUGUUGAGAAGAACGGCUCUCGCUUGGGGCUUCCAAGGAGAAUGAUCCUGAGAUCAGAUGAACCAAGACUCCUGAAGAGCCACCACCAACAAUGGCUGAGCUGCUACAACUUUGAGGAGAAGUCGCCACGCAACACAAGAUGCAGUUAGCACACCUGAGCUUUCCCUAUUGUCAGAUUUCCCGGGAAGUGUGAAAACCUACAGAGUACUCAGAAAUGUUGUUGAAAGUGGUGGGCCUGCAACCAAACAUAUAAAUCAUAUGUAAAUAAGGGAAGUUUGUGUGGGCAACAAACUUGUGUGAGAAACAAUAUUUGUGCAUUCUUUAUCAAGCAUAUAGGCAUCAUUAUUUAACUUUUGGAAUGGUUUUGGAAUUAUUUACUAAACUGUUAUCUUUUUCUGGAUAUGUAUACUAUUGACAAUUUUCACUACAAAUUAGCAGACCUACAGUUGGGUAUAUAUCCAGAAAAAUGGAUGGACUACUCUGGUGUAAAUACAGUACAAAACAAGUCGGUCUGAUUACACAGAUAAGGUCAAAUAAAGUUUUAUUUGAGAGAUAAACAAAAAUACAAGGUAAUUUCUGUAACUUUCUCCAAAUUAAAAAAAGCACAGUAAGGCAUGUGUCAAACUCAUUCCAUGGAGGGCUGAGUGUAUGUGGGUUUUUACUCCUCCCUUGUACUUGAUUGAUUAAUUAAGGUCACCAAUUAGUAGAGAGCUUCCCUCAACUGGUUGUCUUAAAUGAAAGGAAAAACCCAAUACCUGCAGACAUUAAACCCUCCAUGGAAUGUGUUUGACACCCCUGGUGUAAGGUACUGAAAUGAUAUCACCCAGACUGGGGGAAAAAUAAUCACAAAAAAAACUAUUUACAAAGAUGUCCCCAAAUGAAAUAUUUUUCAUAAUUGAGAUCCAAAUGAAGAAUAAAGUACAGUGUAGUGGUGGAAAGUUCAACUGUUAUGUAAACAUACUUGGUAAUAAAUAUACGGAAUAGUGCAGCGGUGAAAUGGCAGCAGUUUUGUGUCGUAAGGUGUAGGAGUCCCCCUGCAAUUCAGGCAGGUGCACCAGCGAGGUUGUCCAUGCUCUGGGAUGUCUGGAGACCCUGAGAUACCUCUCCGGUAUUCAAAAAUCACUCAAGGUAGACUGGAAGCGACCAGCUCAAGCACCUCUCCCCUUUCUUCCAAGGACAGUCCUUGUAAUUUAGCCUGUAAUGAUAAAAAAAAGCAACAUAAAAUUACAGAAUGCAACCAAAUGCUAUGUGAUGUGAUUUGAAUGUUGUGAAACGGGUGAACAGUACCACAGGUGAAAGAUUUUUACUAACCUUCAUCUCGGUCAGCCUCUCCUUGCAGUCGGUCUUCCCGUCCAAUCAUUUCUGCAACCCAGCCUGUGCCCCUUGAUGGUCAGUGGCUCUUCUAAACUGUAAUCCUACAGAACAAAACGUACACAACCCAAGUUGAUAAUCACCUGAAAAGAAAAGUGGACACUGGCUCUGUGAAUCCCUGGAUGGAGCUUUAAUUUGACAGCAAAAUAUUACAUGAAGCCAAACAUUACUACAAUAUAGCUUAAUUCAUGAAGUUGAAACUUUUUAGAGCUGAAAGACGAUGGCCAGAGCUUACCCAUGAUGUUGCACAAUGAUUUAAAUCAAUAAGUCAUCGUUUUAGUCAAAGUGUACAAAACAUUAGGAACACCUGAUCCUUCCAUGACAUAGACUGACCAGGUGAAUCCAGAUGAACGCUAUGAUCCCUUAUUGAUGUCACCUAUUAAAUCCACUUCAAUCAGUGUAGAUGGGGAGGAGACAGGUUAAAGAAGGAUUUUUAAGCCUCAAAAUAUUUGGGACAUGGAUUGUGUAUGUGUGCCAUUCAGAGGGUAAAUGGGCAAGACAAAGUAUUUAAGUGCCUUUGAACAGGGUACAGUAGUUGGUGCCAGGCACACUGGUUUGAGUGCAUCAACAACUGACACGCUGCUGGGUUUUUCACACGCAACAGUUUCCCGUGUGUAUCAAGAAUAGUCCACCACCCAAAGUCCACCAACUUACAUUUCAGUAAUUUAGCAGAUGCUCUUAUUCAGAGCGACUUACAGUAGUGAGUGCAUACAUUUCAUCAUUUUUUCCACCGUACUGGUCCCCCGUGGGAAUCAAACCCACAACCCUAGCGUUGUAAACACCAUGCUCUGCCAACUGAGCCACACGGGACCUUGACACAACUGUGGGAAGCAUUGGAGUCAACAUGGGUCAGCACCCCUAUGGAACGCUUUCGACACCUUGUAGAGUCCAUGCCCCAACGUAUUGAUGCUGUUCUGAGGGCAAAAGGGGAUGCAACUCAAUAUUAGGAGGGUGUUUCUAAUGUUUUGUAAACUCAGUGUGUUUGGGCUUGAAGAGCCAAAUCCGAAUGGCCCACUCUGUGCAAAUCUGUGUGAAUGUGUUGUCUUUUUCUAUGAUAUGUCAUACAAAUUCUUUUUAGUUUACAUUUCAUUUCAGGGUUUUAUUUCAUUGUUAACACCCACCAGCAUGGCAUUGUUUAUUAAUCAGAAACAGCUGCAAAGUUCUUCCUCUUCGCAACUGAGAUGAGCCAAACAACCUUGUGUCCACUUGGCUGCCUGAGUCAUGGAGCAAAUUGACAUAGGGGAGAAAAUCUUAGGGUUUUGCACCUCCACUUUUUUUUAACCAGAAAGUUAUAAUCCACUGGAUAAAAUAAAUAUAUAUAUUAUAUAUAUAUAUAUAUUU